rnacentral:rRNA from 1 species
GAUGAACGCUAGCGGCAGGCCUAAUACAUGCAAGUCGAACGCUCAGUAGCAAUACUGGGAGUGGCGCACGGGUGCGUAACGCGUACACAAUCUACCUCUAAGCGGGGGACACCUCCUGGAAACGGGGAUUAAUACCGCAUAAUAUGCCGAAGUCGCAUGACUUUGGUAUUAAAGCAGCAAUGCACUUAGAGAUGAGUGUGCGUCCCAUUAGGUAGUUGGUGAGGUAACGGCUCACCAAGCCUAUGAUGGGUAGCCGGUCUGAGAGGAUGGUCGGCCACACGGGCACUGAGACACGGGCCCGACUCCUACGGGAGGCAGCAGUAAGGAAUAUUGGUCAAUGGUGGAAACACUGAACCAGCCAUGCCGCGUGGAGGAAUAAGGUCCUACGGAUUGUAAACUCCUUUUGACGAGGAAGAAAAUGUUAGAUUUAUCUAAUUUUGACGGUACCAUAGGAAUAAGCACCGGCUAACUCCGUGCCAGCAGCCGCGGUAAU